CCUACGGGAGGCAGCAGUGGGGAAUCUUGCGCAAUGGGCGAAAGCCUGACGCAGCAACGCCGCGUGCGGGAAGAAGGCUCUCGGGUUGUAAACCGCUUUCAGCAGGAACGAAAAUGACGGUACUUGCAGAAGAAGGUGCGGCCAACUACGUGCCAGCAGCCGCGGUGACACGUAGGCACCAAGCGUUGUCCGGAUUUAUUGGGCGUAAAGAGCUCGUAGGCGGUUCGGUAAGUCAGGUGUGAAAACUUUGGGCUCAACCCAAAGCCUGCAUCUGAUACUGCUGUGACUAGAGUUCGGUAGGGGAGCGGGGAAUUCCUAGUGUAGCGGUGAAAUGCGCAGAUAUUAGGAGGAACACCGGUGGCGAAGGCGCCGCUCUGGGCCGAAACUGACGCUGAGGAGCGAAAGCGUGGGUAGCAAACAGGAUUAGAUACCCUGGUAGUCCACGCCGUAAACGUUGGGCACUAGGUGUGGGUUUCAACCAACGAAAUCCGCGCCGUCGCUAACGCAUUAAGUGCCCCGCCUGGGGAGUACGGCCGCAGGUUAAAACUCAAAGAUAGNGGCGUGNGAGUGCGACGACGACGACGAGGAGGAGG
rnacentral:rRNA from 1 species